UAUAUAUCAUUCCCCUGCAAUUUCACUGCUCAAUUCACUGUCACUUAGGAGUUAAAUCACUUUGUUUCUGUUUAUGCAGCCCUAGCCACACCUCCCCUGGCUAUGAUUGACAGAGCCUGCAUGAAAAAAAAUUGGUUUCACUUUCAAACAGAUGUAAUUUACCUUAAAUAAUUGUAUCUCAAUCUCUAAAUUGAACUUUAAUCCCAUACAGGAGGCUCUUGCAGGGUCUAGCAAGCUAUUAACAUAGCAGGGAAUAAGAAAAUCUUAAUUAAACAGAACUUGCAAUAAAGAAAGCCUAAAUAGGGCUCUCUUUACAGGA